UCUAGUGGCGGACGGGUGAGUAACGCGUGGGUAACCUGCCUUAUACCGGGGGAUAACAGCCAGAAAUGGCUGCUAAUACCGCAUAAGCGCACAGAACCGCAUGGUUCCGUGUGAAAAACUCCGGUGGUAUAAGAUGGACCCGCGUUGGAUUAGCUAGUUGGCAGGGCAGCGGCCUACCAAGGCGACGAUCCAUAGCCGGCCUGAGAGGGUGAACGGCCACAUUGGGACUGAGACACGGCCCAGACUCCUACGGGAGGCAGCAGUGGGGAAUAUUGCACAAUGGGGGAAACCCUGAUGCAGCGACGCCGCGUGAAGGAAGAAGUAUCUCGGUAUGUAAACUUCUAUCAGCAGGGAAGAUAAUGACGGUACCUGACUAAGAAGCCCCGGCUAACUACGUGCCAGCAGCCGCGGUAAUACGUAGGGGGCAAGCGUUAUCCGGAUUUACUGGGUGUAAAGGGAGCGUAGACGGCGCAGCAAGUCUGAUGUGAAAGGCAGGGGCUUAACCCCUGGACUGCAUUGGAAACUGCUGUGCUUGAGUGCCGGAGGGGUAAGCGGAAUUCCUAGUGUAGCGGUGAAAUGCG
rnacentral:rRNA from 1 species